rnacentral:rRNA from 1 species
GGUGAGUAACACGUGGGUGAUCUGCCCUGCACUUCGGGAUAAGCUUGGGAAACUGGGUCUAAUACCGGAUAGGAGCCAUCUUUAGUGUGGUGGUUGGAAAGUUUUUUCAGUGUAGGAUGAGCUCGCGGCCUAUCAGCUUGUUGGUGGGGUAAUGGCCUACCAAGGCGGCGACGGGUAGCCGGCCUGAGAGGGUGUACGGCCACAUUGGGACUGAGAUACGGCCCAG